ensembl:lncRNA
UCACUAAGAACUCACCUUGCCUUUGUGAUUUGCAAAUAAACACUGUGAUUGGAUUCACUUACCUCUGUCUCUCAUUUAUAUCCUGACAGAAGGCUGGACCAACACCGCAAUGAAUCCAACACAACGUGAAGACAGUGCUUCCGCAAACCCUGCUUCCACGCUGGUGUACAUCGCCAACACUGUCUCGCGACCAGCGCCCUUCUCUGGUCGGGCGGAAGACUGUAACGGGUUUCUCUUGCAAUGCUCUCUCGCCCUUGAACAGCAUGCUCGCCAAUAUCCCACGGAAAGAUCCAAAAUCUCGUUUAUUAUCCAGCAGCUUUCCAGGGCAGCAUUGAGAUGGGCUGAAGCAUUGUGGUUUCAAGAUUCGGCGAUCACUUCGUCUGUGCAAAGUUUCAUUAAUCAUUUCAAAGAAGUGUUUGGACGUCCUGUUGGCGAUUCCUCUGUCAGCGACCAACUGUUACAGUUACGCCAAGGUAAACGAUCAGUUUCUGAGUACUCCCUGGAAUUCCGAACCCUAGCGGCGGCGAGUGGGUGGAAUGAAAAAGCCCUCCUUACGGUUAACCGAAGAGGAUUAAACCCCACGCUUUGCCUCCAGCUCGCUAUUUAUGAUGACAAUUUGGGGUUAGAAAAAUUCAUGCAACAAGCUCUCUGAGUUCAUCUAAGAUCCCAAUCCUGUUAUCGGGAAGUUCAUGCUCCAGUUCCUGUUCCCCAUCAAAACCUACCCAAAGAAUCCCCAGAGCUGAAAUCAGAAAAGAUGCAAGUGGAAACCCAUAAGCUGUCUCAAGCAGAACGUACCCGUCGGCGAACUAAAUCUGUGCCUCUACUGUGGGAAUGAAGGACAUUGCGUUUGAACAUGCGCGUCUCGCCCUCCUCGAUUACUGUCUCCGCCAUCGUGGACUCUGGGUCAGCGGGCAACUUUAUAUCCGGAGAUCUCGCAAGGAUGCUCCAACUCAAAAGGACCUGUACCUCUAAGCCGUACUCCAUCCAUGCAGUGACUGGCGAAGUUAUCAACCAGGGGACUCCUGCUUGAUUCCCUGCUACCUGUCAUCUGAAGUUCCUCCGAACUCCCAGUGUGUUUCUCCGAGCUUGCUUGGUUGUACCCGCACCUGAAGGAAAGAGAGACAAGUGCUAAUCAUCUGUGACUGCUUGGAAUUAACAUAUCUACUCAAG